AGAGUUUGAUCCUGGCUCAGGAUGAACGCUAGCGGCAGGCUUAACACAUGCAAGUCGGGCGGCAGCGGGGUGGGAGCUUGCUCCCACUGCCGGCGAGCGGCGCACGGGUGAGUAACACGUAUGCAACCUGCCCCUGUCAGGGGGACAACCCGCCGAAAGGCGGGCUAAGCCCGCGUAUAUCUCCCCGGGGCAUCCCGGGGGGAGGAAAGGAGCGAUCCGGACAGGGAUGGGCAUGCGGCGCAUUAGCUGGUCGGCGGGGUAACGGCCCACCGAGGCGACGAUGCGUAGGGGUUCUGAGAGGAAGGCCCCCCACACUGGUACUGAGACACGGACCAGACUCCUACGGGAGGCAGCAGUGAGGAAUAUUGGUCAAUGGGCGGGAGCCUGAACCAGCCAAGCCGCGUGAGGGAAGAAGGUACAGCGUAUCGUAAACCUCUUUUGUCAGGGAACAAAGGCGGGGACUAGUCCCCGGAUGAGGGUACCUGAAGAAAAAGCAUCGGCUAACUCCGUGCCAGCAGCCGCGGUAAUACGGAGGAUGCGAGCGUUAUCCGGAUUUAUUGGGUUUAAAGGGUGCGCAGGCGGCCUGUUAAGUCAGCGGUAAAAGCCCGGGGCUCAACCCCGGCGAGCCGUUGAAACUGGCGGGCUGGAGUUGGAGAGAAGUACGCGGAAUGCGCGGUGUAGCGGUGAAAUGCUUAGAUAUCGCGCAGAACCCCGAUUGCGAAGGCAGCGUACCGGCUCCACACUGACGCUGAGGCACGAAAGCGUGGGUAUCGAACAGGAUUAGAUACCCUGGUAGUCCACGCAGUAAACGAUGAAUGCUUGCUGUCCGGGCAGAGAUAUGCCUGGGGGGCGAAGCGAAAGCGAUAAGCAUUCCACCUGGGGAGUACGCCGGCAACGGUGAAACUCAAAGGAAUUGACGGGGGCCCGCACAAGCGGAGGAACAUGUGGUUUUAAUUCGAUGAUACGCGAGGAACCUUACCCGGGCUCAAACGGGAGACGGCAGGGGCAGAGACGCCCCUUUCCCUCGGGACGUCUUCCGAGGUGCUGCAUGGUUGUCGUCAGCUCGUGCCGUGAGGUGUCGGCUUAAGUGCCAUAACGAGCGCAACCCCCGCGUGCAGUUGCCAGCAGGAAAGGCUGGGGACUCUGCACGGACUGCCGGCGCAAGCCGCGAGGAAGGCGGGGAUGACGUCAAAUCAGCACGGCCCUUACGUCCGGGGCGACACACGUGUUACAAUGGGGGGUACAGCGGGAAGCCAGGCGGCGACGCCGAGCGGAACCCGAAAGCCCCUCUCAGUUCGGAUCGGAGUCUGCAACCCGACUCCGUGAAGCUGGAUUCGCUAGUAAUCGCGCAUCAGCCAUGGCGCGGUGAAUACGUUCCCGGGCCUUGUACACACCGCCCGUCAAGCCAUGGGAGCCGAGGGCGCUUGAAGUGCGUCGCCGGGAGGCGCGCCCUAGAGCGAAAUCGGUGACUGGGGCUAAGUCGUAACAAGGUAGCCGUA
rnacentral:rRNA from 1 species